rnacentral:rRNA from 1 species
GACGAACGCUGGCGGCGUGCUUAACACAUGCAACUCGAACGGUGAUCCUGGUGCUUGCACCGGGUGAUCAGUGGCGAACGGGUGAGUAACACGUGAGCAACCUGCCCCCGACUCUGGGAUAACCCCGAGAAAUCGGAGCUAAUACCGGAUACGAGACGCACAGGCAUCUGUAGCGUCUGGAAAGGAUUCCGGUCGGGGAUGGGCUCGCGGCCUAUCAGCUAGUUGGUGAGGUAGUGGCUCACCAAGGCGACGACGGGUAGCCGGCCUGAGAGGGCGACCGGCCACACUGGGACUGAGACACGGCCCAGACUCCUACGGGAGGCAGCAGUGGGGAAUAUUGCACAAUGGGCGAAAGCCUGAUGCAGCGACGCCGCGUGGGGGAUGAAGGCCUUCGGGUUGUAAACCCCUUUCAGCAGGGAAGAAGCGAAAGUGACGGUACCUGCAGAAGAAGCGCCGGCUAACUACGUGCCAGCAGCCGCGGUAAUACGUAGGGCGCAAGCGUUGUCCGGAAUUAUUGGGCGUAAAGAGCUCGUAGGCGGUUUGUCGCGUCUGCUGUGAAAACCCGAGGCUCAACCUCGGGCCUGCAGUGGGUACGGGCAGACUAGAGUGCGGUAGGGGAGACUGGAAUUCCUGGUGUAGCGGUGGAAUGCGCAGAUAUCAGGAGGAACACCGAUGGCGAAGGCAGGUCUCUGGGCCGCAACUGACGCUGAGGAGCGAAAGCAUGGGGAGCGAACAGGAUUAGAUACCCUGGUAGUCCAUGCCGUAAACGUUGGGCACUAGGUGUGGGGCUCAUUCCACGAGUUCCGUGCCGCAGCAAACGCAUUAAGUGCCCCGCCUGGGGAGUACGGCCGCAAGGCUAAAACUCAAAGGAAUUGACGGGGGCCCGCACAAGCGGCGGAGCAUGCGGAUUAAUUCGAUGCAACGCGAAGAACCUUACCAAGGCUUGACAUAUACCGAAAACUCAUGGAGACAUGGGGUCCGCAAGGGCGGUAUACAGGUGGUGCAUGGUU